rnacentral:piRNA from 1 species
UGGGCUCCAGCAUUUGUCUUCUCCC